GCGCCGGCUAGGGUGAAGGAUUUACUCCGUAAGCUCUGGCUGGUCGAAGAUACCAGGCCGCUGCGACUGUUUAUUAAAAACACAGCACUCUGCAAACACGAAAGUGGACGUAUAGGGUGUGACGCCUGCCCGGUGCCGGAAGGUUAAUUGAUGGGGUUAGCGCAAGCGAAGCUCUUGAUCGAAGCCCCGGUAAACGGCGGCCGUAACUAUAACGGUCCUAAGGUAGCGAAAUUCCUUGUCGGGUAAGUUCCGACCUGCACGAAUGGCGUAACGAUGGCGGCGCUGUCUCCACCCGAGACUCAGUGAAAUUGAAAUCGCUGUGAAGAUGCAGUGUAUCCGCGGCUAGACGGAAAGACCCCGUGAACCUUUACUGUAGCUUUGCACUGGACUUUGAGCCUGCUUGUGUAGGAUAGGUGGGAGGCUUUGAAGCGUGGACGCCAGUUCGCGUGGAGCCAUCCUUGAAAUACCACCCUGGCAUGCUUGAGGUUCUAACUCUGGUCCGUAAUCCGGAUCGAGGACAGUGUAUGGUGGGCAGUUUGACUGGGGCGGUCUCCUCCUAAAGAGUAACGGAGGAGUACGAAGGUGCGCUCAGACCGGUCGGAAAUCGGUCGUAGAGUAUAAAGGCAAAAGCGCGCUUGACUGCGAGACAGACACGUCGAGCAGGUACGAAAGUAGGUCUUAGUGAUCCGGUGGUUCUGUAUGGAAGGGCCAUCGCUCAACGGAUAAAAGGUACUCCGGGGAUAACAGGCUGAUACCGCCCAAGAGUUCAUAUCGACGGCGGUGUUUGGCACCUCGAUGUCGGCUCAUCACAUCCUGGGGCUGAAGCCGGUCCCAAGGGUAUGGCUGUUCGCCAUUUAAAGUGGUACGCGAGCUGGGUUUAGAACGUCGUGAGACAGUUCGGUCCCUAUCUGCCGUGGACGUUUGAGAUUUGAGAGGGGCUGCUCCUAGUACGAGAGGACCGGAGUGGACGAACCUCUGGUGUUCCGGUUGUCACGCCAGUGGCAUUGCCGGGUAGCUAUGUUCGGAAAAGAUAACCGCUGAAAGCAUCUAAGCGGGAAACUUGCCUCAAGAUGAGAUCUCACUGGGAACUUGAUUCCCCUGAAGGGCCGUCGAAGACUACGACGUUGAUAGGCUGGGUGUGUAAGCGUUGUGAGGCGUUGAGCUAACCAGUACUAAUUGCCCGUGAGGCUUGACCAU
rnacentral:rRNA from 1 species